GAGGAAAAGAAACCAACAGGGAUUACCUCAGUAACGGCGAGUGAAGCGGUAACAGCUCAAAUUUGAAAUCUGGGUCUUUCAGGCUCCGAGUUGUAAUUUGUAGAAGAUGCUUCGGGUGUGGCUCCGGUCUAAGUUCCUUGGAACAGGACGUCAUAGAGGGUGAGAAUCCCGUACGUGACUGGUUGCCUUCGCCCAUGUGAAGCUCUUUCGACGAGUCGAGUUGUUUGGGAAUGCAGCUCAAAAUGGGUGGUAAAUUUCAUCUAAAGCUAAAUAUUGGCCAGAGACCGAUAGCGCACAAGUAGAGUGAUCGAAAGAUGAAAAGCACUUUGGAAAGAGAGUUAAACAGUACGUGAAAUUGUUGAAAGGGAAGCGCUUGCAAUCAGACUUGCACGCUGCUGAUCAUCCGGGGUUCUCCCCGGUGCACUCGGUUGCGUUCAGGCCAGCAUCGGUUUGGGUGGUUGGAUAAAGGCCUUGGGAAUGUGGCUUCCUUCGGGGAGUGUUAUAGCCCUCGGUGCAAUGCAGCCUACCCGGACCGAGGACCGCGCUUCGGCUAGGAUGCUGGCGUAAUG
rnacentral:rRNA from 1 species